AACGAACGCUGGCGGCAGGCCUAACACAUGCAAGUCGAGCGGACAUCUUCGGAUGUUAGCGGCGGACGGGGGCGUAACGCGUGGGAACGUGCCCUUUGCUUCGGAAUAGCCUCGGGAAACUGGGAGUAAUACCGGAUGUACCCUUUGGGGGAAAGAUUGAUCGGCAAAGGAUCGGCCCGCGUUGGAUUAGGUAGUUGGUGGGGUAAUGGCCUACCAAGCCGACGAUCCAUAGCUGGUUUGAGCAGAUGAUCAGCCGCAAUGGGACUGAGACACGGCCCAGAAUCCUACGGAAGAGAGCAGUGGGGAAUCCUAUGCAAUGAGGGCAACCGUGAUAGAGCCAUGCCGCGUAAGCGAUGAAGCCCUUAGGGUUGUACAGCUCUUUCAGCGGGAAAGAUAAUGACGGUACCCGGAGAAGAAGCCCCGGCUAACUCCGUG
rnacentral:rRNA from 1 species